AGGCAGCGGGCUUUUCUCAUCUCUGCCCCCGUCCGCCGCUUCUCAUUCCACCCCCACACUCCCUGGAAGAACAGGACCCAGAGUAACCCUGCAUGUGCUCGGGCUCCUAGAGUGGGGCUGAGCAGCUUUCUGUCCCACUGAGCCUCCCUUUCCAGGUUGGGGCAGGCAAGUGGAUUCGACAGGCUGCCAGAAGACUGCAAGGUCAUUGGGAGUUUUAAUCUGUGACUGUGUCAUGAAGGACAUUUGUACUCGAAUUCAUGGAGUGCCAUUCCUGAUGGGAGAGGAGGCCCAUGACAGUGACAGUCAUGCUAGUGAUCGCGGACACCACACCAUGCUGCCUUUGCCAGCUGGCUCCUUCAGCGAGUCCUCGCGCCAAGCCUGGGAGGUAGAGGUGAGGGCAGCGAGCAGCGCAGGAGUCCGGACCUGCCCAGAAGCCUGUUCCCAGUCCCUGCCGUUCCCAGUCACUGCCUCCGGGUGGCCGAGGAGGACGAGCUCUUGGUGUCUCGGCUCCACUGACUGCUUUUCUCUCUCCUUCAGAUGCUGAUCGCGUGGACAGCACCACAUUAUUGGGUAAUGCAUGCCAGGACUGUGCAAAGAGGAAGUUAGAAGAGAAUGGAAUUGAAGUUUCCAAAAAACGCACACAAUCAGAUACUGAUGAUGCUGGAGGGUCUUGAAAUCUUUACAGUAAAACCUGCAACUUGAAAACUAGCCUUCUGUAACCACAGUGCCCAAACGAAGAGGAAUGUAUGGAGAACUCCACGUGGAUCUCUGAUUGCGAAACCGUCACAUACACCAAGAGAGCCACAUGGGCAUGUGGCCCUCAAGGCUGGGUGAGAGGGCUCCCCUGUGUGUUGAACUAUGCAGGAGGGUGACGCGGACACAUUUCAGGUGGACUUUGCAAGGACUGAUGGAUAGCUACCUCAGGGACCAGAAUCCGUGGGAAGGGAUGGACCUGGUGUUCCCGUUCCCAUCUGACAGGCUCUCUUUUGUCAAGGUGGUAUUUUUCGUAAUAAAAGGGGAAGAGUAAAGACUGUCCAAGCAACAGUAGUUGCCAAAGAGAAAAUACGAAAUAGACACUUUUUUUUUUUUGAGUCAGAGUCUCACUCUGUCACCCAGGACAGAGUGCAGUGGUACGAUCUCAAGCUCACUGCAGCCGCCACCUCCUGGGCUCAAGUGAUUCUCCUGCCUCAGCCUCCCGAGUAGCUGGGAUUACAGGCGUCCACCACCAUGCCCAGCUAAUUUUUUUAUUUUUAGUAGAGUUGGAGUUUCACCAUGUUGGCCAGGAUGGUCUCGAACUCUUGACCUCAGGUGAUCCGCCCGCCUUGGCCUCCCAAAGUGCUAGGAUUACAGGCAUGAGCCACUGUGCCCAGCAGAAUAAACACAUUUUAUAAUUUGUAUGUGGCAACAUGUUACUAUAGAAAGCAUUUUAAAGGUACGUUUUAAAGGUCCACUGUUAAAUAGUAAAGAAUGAACCCGCUAGCGAAAAUGUUUUUAGGGAGAACAGCUGGAUCAAAAGGGCUUCUUUGGAAUUAGGUUGUUUUAGUAACUUCUGUUCCAAAGAAACACAGGUCUGAUAUUGCUAAGAACUGAAAUCGGAGGAGCCAGAGGCCCUUUUCAGUCCAGGCCAGCAUUGUGCAUGGCCACUGUGGGACUGACAACCGGGAUAGCUCAAGUUCGAAAGACCAGGUUUCAAACAUCAUAAGUUCCAGGCUUUGCAAGUCUUUAUUCUCUGGGGUAAGAUCCAGUCUUUCUGUUACUGUCUCUUAAAAUUCUCUUCCAUGGCCCACAUUAAGGGAGUUUGCAGAGAGUGAGGGAGACAAAACUUGAAAAGGGCCUGCAACACUUUAAACCUUCUCAGGUUCACCCACAUGAAACGGCUGUGCUGAGUGUGCUGCCGGUGCCCGGGGAGCUUCUCUGACUGUGACCCGGCAGAGGUUUCUGUGGCGGUGCAUGAGCGGCCCUACAGUGGAGGGUUCUCUUUGGAAACAAACAGCCCUGCUUGGUUUCAGUUUGAGGCCACUUAUCUUCAAUGUGACAUUUCUUGCCAAGCCCUGUGACACUCCCCAUUGAUGACUCCCAUAAGUACAGAUAAAGUUAAGAACAGGAAACAGAAGGGUAGGAUGCAUAGGGAGGGAGAGAAGCCCUGAAAACUUUUUUUUUCUUUUUGAAGCAUGGAAAACAAAUCUUUUAUGCCAC
rnacentral:lncRNA from 1 species